UAGGGAAUCUUCCACAAUGGACGCAAGUCUGAUGGAGCAACGCCGCGUGAGCGAAGAAGGUUUUCGGACCGUAAAGCUCUGUUGUUGGUGAAGAAGGAUAGAGGUAGUAACUGGCCUUUAUUUGACGGUAAUCAACCAGAAAGUCACGGCUAACUACGUGCCAGCAGCCGCGGUAAUACGUAGGUGGCAAGCGUUGUCCGGAUUUAUUGGGCGUAAAGCGAGCGCAGGCGGAAGAAUAAGUCUGAUGUGAAAGCCCUCGGCUUAACCGAGGAAUUGCAUCGGAAACUGUUUUUCUUGAGUGCAGAAGAGGAGAGUAGAACUCCAUGUGUAGCGGUGGAAUGCGUAGAUAUAUGGAAGAAUACCAGUGGCGAAGGCGGCUCUCUGGUCUGCAACUGACGCUGAGGCUCGAAAGCAUGGGUAGCGAACAGGAUUAGAUACCCUGGUAGUCCAUGCCGUAAACGAUGAGUGCUAAGUGUUGGGAGGCUUCCGCCUCUCAGUGCUGCAGCUAACGCAUUAAGCACUCCGCCUGGGGGAGUACGACCGCAAGGUUGAAAC
rnacentral:rRNA from 1 species